ensembl:lncRNA
CUGAAGACAAACCUAUAAGUGGGUCCUCGGAAAGCUUCAGUGGGGUCAGUGGCAGGCUGCAGUGACAGAAGCAGAAGGCCAUGGCCAGGAGAGGGUCCACCAUUCUCUCAUCUCUGCCCACUGCCCUUGAAGGAGAGCUCAGUGAAUCUGAACUCCUGCUCAUUACCAGAUAAAUAAUUCAGCUGCCACACUAAAUACUGGAGAGGAGCUGACGGGGAGGAAGAUAUCGUGAAACCUGGGCUGGGAAAACAAGCCUUUCUUAAGAAGCCAGCAAACCGUAGUACAGUCCUUAACUGCCUCCAUGGCAGGAACAGCAGGAUGGAAGGACCUGGGCAAAAGAUGGCUGCUCAUCCUAUAGCAGCUGGGAAGCAGAGAAAGAAAGAAGGAGUUCCACUGACUGAGCCUCCUGGCAUGGGAGGAAACAGCAGGCAUGGAGGAGAGGCACUCUGCAGGUG